UUCAGCCACGUGCAUGAAUAAGAAUUGCAAUCUCUCGGCACACAAGAUUGUCAUCAAAUGGUUUCUUCUCAAAUCUAAUAGCAUUCCUGAACCUCCAAAUCAAUGAUACAGUAGUAACAAAAGCAGUGGCUAUCACAGCCUUUAUAAAUUGUUUACUCCUAGCAUUGCAGCAUAUCCAUGUCAACUCAUUCUUCCAGCAACC
rnacentral:lncRNA from 1 species